GGGGAUUUAGCUCAGUGGUAGAGCGCUUGCCUAGCAAGCGCGAGGCCCUGGGUUCGGUUCCCAGCUCCG
rnacentral:tRNA from 1 species